ACUUCGGUCUUUCAUUUUGUUAACUUUGUGUAUAAAGAUUGUGACUAUUUUGUAGAAUUUUCUGCGGACUGAAGCUUGCCAAACAACUCCAAGACAGAAAAAGAGGAAGCAAAACAUGAGGAAGAAGGAAUGCAUGAGUUUAAGAAGAGAAAGGCAAGUUUACACAAAAGAACAAGGAAAAUAACUGACAGCCCUCAAUGUACAAUGACUGUCCUGCGUGCUCCAGGCUAACUCAAUUCUUCUUCCCUCUGGCCAGAAUGCAUGCCACUGGAGAAACAAUUUAUUUCCCGAAACCACGCUGCCUUCAGCAAUUUCAAAUAGCUUUAAAUUAUGUGAAGUUAAACAAAGGUCUUAAAAUUUACAAGAAGUUCUCCAUUUGCUGUGUGCAUUUCUCUAAGGAAAUUAUUGCUUUUUCAUCUGCCAUUCAUCUCAUCCACAUAGGAACAAAGUGGAUUUUCAGACCCUUGGCCCAGACUUGGAGGCAGAGGAGCCCGUACGUUCAGAUGAAUGGUGUCUCAGAGGUGACAGCUGUCUUUGAGAAUGCUGGAUACUGCACAGAAGGGCCAGUGCUCUGACUGGGAACAGUUUGGCAGGGUUGUGUUAAGGUAAGGUGCAGAUUUGGGGGAAGUUGGGAUUGGUAUUAUCCAGUGGAUUUCUGGCCUUUCUGAUCUGCCUGUCAGCAUCCUCUGACCCCAUUUGGGAUGGUUAGUGCUCUGCCUUUUCAGGUGAACCAUGUAACUGAUGCCUGAUUGAGGUACGUGUUUUGUAUUUCACAGAUUAAAAUAAAUGCUCUAGCUAAUGUAAUUGGGCUUAAAUA
rnacentral:lncRNA from 1 species